rnacentral:rRNA from 1 species
UACGGAGGGUGCAAGCGUUAUCCGGAUUCACUGGGUUUAAAGGGUGCGUAGGCGGGUAAGUAAGUCCGUGGUGAAAUCUCUGAGCUUAACUCAGCAACUGCCGUGGAUACUAUUUGCCUUGAAUAUUGUGGAGGUGAGCGGAAUAUGUCAUGUAGCGGUGAAAUGCUUAGAUAUGACAUAGAACACCAAUUGCGAAGGCAGCUCACUACACAAUCAUUGACGCUGAGGCACGAAAGCGUGGGGAUCAAACAGG